rnacentral:rRNA from 1 species
GGUGGUGCAUGGUUGUCGUCAGCUCGUGUCGUGAGAUGUUGGGUUAAGUCCCGCAACGAGCGCAACCCUUAAGCUUAGUUGCCAUCAUUAAGUUGGGCACUCUAGGUUGACUGCCGGUGACAAACCGGAGGAAGGUGGGGAUGACGUCAAAUCAUCAUGCCCCUUAUGAUUUGGGCUACACACGUGCUACAAUGGACAAUACAAAGGGCAGCUAAACCGCGAGGUCAUGCAAAUCCCAUAAAGUUGUUCUCAGUUCGGAUUGUAGUCUGCAACUCGACUACAUGAAGCUGGAAUCGCUAGUAAUCGUAGAUCAGCAUGCUACGGUGAAUACGUUCCCGGGUCUUGUACACACC